rnacentral:rRNA from 1 species
UGCAUGUAGGUCGUUUGACGGGGCAACCGGGUUACCGCAGGUGAAUUGACGGAAUAACGAGAGGGUGAUCUGAUUUGCAAUUCGGGUUAAGCCUGGUGUCCUGGGUCUAAUGCCGGAUAUUACCUCAGAAUGCUUGUUCUGGAGUGGAAAGAUUUAUCGGUGCGAGAUGGGCCCGCGGCCUAUCAGCUUGUUGGUGAGGUAACGGCUCACCAAGGCGACGACGGGCAGCCGACCUGAGAGGGUGACGGGCCACACUGGGACUGAGACACGGCCCAGACUCCUACGGGAGGCAGCAGUGGGGAAUAUUGCACAAUGGGCGCAAGCCUGAUGCAGCGACGCCGCGUGCGGGAUGACGGCCUUCGGGUUGUAAACCGCUUUUGACAGGGACGAAGCGCAAGUGACUGUACCUGUAGAAUAAGGACCGGCCAACUACGUGCCAGCAGCCGCGGUAAUACGUAGGGUCCGAGCGUUGUCCGGAAUUACUGGGCGUAAAGAGCUUGUAGGCGGUUCGUCGCGUCGUUUGUGAAAACUUGGGGCUCAACCUUAAGCUUGCAGGCGAUACGGGCGGACUAGAGUACUUCAGGGGAGACUGGAAUUCCUGGUGUAGCGGUGAAAUGCGCAGAUAUCAGGAGGAGCACCAGUGGCGAAGGCGGGUCUCUGGGAAGUAACUGACGCUGAGAAGCGAAAGCAUGGGUAGCAAACAGGAUUAGAUACCCUGGUAGUCCAUGCCGUAAACGGUGGGUACUAGGUGUGGGGCUCCUUCCACGGACUCCGUGCCGUAGCUAACGCAUUAAGUACCCCGCCUGGGGAGUACGGCCGCAAGGCUAAAACUCAAAUGAAUUGACGGGG